AUAUCAGUCCCUUGAAGAUAAGUUGGCACAUUCAGUAAAAAGGGAAAGCGAACUACAGGCGCAAAUUGCUCAUAUGGAGGAUUCAACAUCCAUUGACGACGACGUAGCGUCUGAUUCAAAAGAGAAGAAGA